ACGCUAGCUACAGGCUUAACACAUGCAAGUCGAGGGGCAGCAUGGUCUUAGCUUGCUAAGGCCGAUGGCGACCGGCGCACGGGUGAGUAACACGUAUCCAACCUGCCGUCUACUCUUGGACAGCCUUCUGAAAGGAAGAUUAAUACAAGAUGGCAUCAUGAGUCCGCAUGUUCACAUGAUUAAAGGUAUUCCGGUAGACGAUGGGGAUGCGUUCCAUUAGAUAGUAGGCGGGGUAACGGCCCACCUAGUCUUCGAUGGAUAGGGGUUCUGAGAGGAAGGUCCCCCACAUUGGAACUGAGACACGGUCCAAACUCCUACGGGAGGCAGCAGUGAGGAAUAUUGGUCAAUGGGCGAGAGCCUGAACCAGCCAAGUAGCGUGAAGGAUGACUGCCCUAUGGGUUGUAAACUUCUUUUAUAAAGGAAUAAAGUCGGGUAUGGAUACCCGUUUGCAUGUACUUUAUGAAUAAGGAUCGGCUAACUCCGUGCCAGCAGCCGCGGUAAUACGGAGGAUCCGAGCGUUAUCCGGAUUUAUUGGGUUUAAAGGGAGCGUAGAUGGAUGUUUAAGUCAGUUGUGAAAGUUUGCGGCUCAACCGUAAAAUUGCAGUUGAUACUGGGUAUCUUGAGUGCAGUUGAGGCAGGCGGAAUUCGUGGUGUAGCGGUGAAAUGCUUAGAUAUCACGAAGAACUCCGAUUGCGAAGGCAGCCUGCUAAGCUGCAACUGACAUUGAGGCUCGAAAGUGUGGGUAUCAAACAGGAUUAGAUACCCUGGUAGUCCACACGGUAAACGAUGAAUACUCGCUGUUUGCGAUAUACGGCAAGCGGCCAAGCGAAAGCGUUAAGUAUUCCACCUGGGGAGUACGCCGGCAACGGUGAAACUCAAAGGAAUUGACGGGGGCCCGCACAAGCGGAGGAACAUGUGGUUUAAUUCGAUGAUACGCGAGGAACCUUACCCGGGCUUAAAUUGCAGAUGAAUUACGGUGAAAGCCGUAAGCCGCAAGGCAUCUGUGAAGGUGCUGCAUGGUUGUCGUCAGCUCGUGCCGUGAGGUGUCGGCUUAAGUGCCAUAACGAGCGCAACCCUUGUUGUCAGUUACUAACAGGUUCCGCUGAGGACUCUGACAAGACUGCCAUCGUAAGAUGUGAGGAAGGUGGGGAUGACGUCAAAUCAGCACGGCCCUUACGUCCGGGGCUACACACGUGUUACAAUGGGGGGUACAGAGGGCCGCGACCACGCGAGUGGAUGCCAAUCCCCAAAACCUCUCUCAGUUCGGACUGGAGUCUGCAACCCGACUCCACGAAGCUGGAUUCGCUAGUAAUCGCGCAUCAGCCACGGCGCGGUGAAUACGUUCCCGGGCCUUGUACACACCGCCCGUCAAGCCAUGGGAGCCGGGGGUACCUGAAGUGCGUAACCGCGAGGAGCGCCCUAGGGUAAAACUGGUGACUGGGGCU
rnacentral:rRNA from 1 species